rnacentral:rRNA from 1 species
GAUGAACGCUGGCGGCGUGCUUAACACAUGCAAGUCGAACGGAAAGGCCCCAGCUUGCUGGGGUACUCGAGUGGCGAACGGGUGAGUAACACGUGGGUGAUCUGCCCUGCACUUUGGGAUAAGCUUGGGAAACUGGGUCUAAUACCGAAUAUGACCACUUCUUGGAUGUUGUGGUGGAGAGCUUUUGCGGUGUGGGAUGAGCCUGCGGCCUACCAGCUUGUUGGUGGGGUAAUGGCCUACCAAGGCGGCGACGGGUAUCCGGCCUGAGAGGGUGUACGGACACAGUGGGACUGAGAUACGGCCCAGACUCCUACGGGAGGCAGCAGUGGGGAAUAUUGCACAAUGGGCGCAAGCCUGAUGCAGCGACGCCGCGUGGGGGAUGAAGGCCUUCGGGUUGUAAACUCCUUUCGCUAUCGACGAAGCCACUUGUGGUGACGGUAGGUAGAUAAGAAGCACCGGCUAACUACGUGCCAGCCGCCGCCGUAA